rnacentral:rRNA from 1 species
AUUGAACGCUGGCGGCCGGCCUAACACAUGCACGUCGACCGAAUGUCGGACGGGUGAGUAAUGUCUGGGAAACUGCCUGAUGGAGGGGUAUAACUACUGGACACUGUAGCUAAUACCGCAUACCAUCAGAUGUGCCCAGAUGGGAUUAGCUAGUUGGUGGUGUAACGGCUCACCAAGGCGACGAGCCCUAGCUGGUCUGAGAGGAUGACCAGCCACACUGGAACGGAGAAACGGUACAGACGCCUACGGGAGGCAUCAGUGGGGAAUAUUGCACACUGGGCGUAAGCCUGAUGCAGCCAGGCGGGGUGUAUGAAGAAGGCCUUCGGUUUGUAAAGUACUUUCAGCGGGGAGGCGUGACCCGCAGAAGAAGCACCGGGUAACUCCGUGCUAGCAGCCGCGGUAAUUC